GAUGAAGAACGUAGUGAAAUGCGAUACUUGGUGUGAAUUGCAGAAUCCCGUGAACCAUCGAGUCUUUGAACGCAAGUUGCGCCCGAAGCCAUCAGGUUGAGGGCACGUCUGCCUGGGCGUCACAUAUCGUUGCCCAAUGCCUAUUGCAGUGCAAUAGGAAUUUCUAGGGCGAAUGAUGGCUUCCCGUGAGCAUUGUUGCCUCGCGGUUGGUUGAAAAUCGAGUCCUUGGUAGGGUGUGCCAUGGUAGAUGGUGGUCGAGUUAGAACGAUACCGAUCAUGUGCAUGCUCCCCAAAAUAUGGCCUCUAUGACCCACACGCGUCUUUUGACGCUCAUGACGAGACCUCAGGUCAGGCGGGGCUACCCGCUGAAUUUAAGCAUAUCAAUAAGCGGAGGA
rnacentral:misc_RNA from 1 species